CGGGCUGAAGCAUUGUAAGAUGUGCCUUGCUUACGCCAAGGAGAACUCUGUAACUGGAGUAGCCUGA